UACGUAGGGUGCGAGCGUUAAUCGGAAUUACUGGGCGUAAAGCGUGCGCAGCCGGUUUUGUAAGCCAGAUGUGAAAUCCCCGGGCUCAACCUGGGAAUGGCAUUUGGGACUGCAAGGCUGGAGUACGGCAGAGGAGACUGGAAUUCCUGGUGUAGCAGUGAAAUGCGUAGAUAUCAGGAGGAAUACCGAUGGCGAAGGCAGGUCUCUGGGCUGAUACUGACGCUCAUGCACGAAAGCGUGGGGAGCAAACAGG
rnacentral:rRNA from 1 species